rnacentral:piRNA from 1 species
UGGGGGCGGAAAUACCAAGGAAAACCCUUGU